GCCAGGUGUAGUGGUGCACAUUUAUAAUCCCUGCUAAUGGGAAGGCUGAGGCUGGUGGAUUUUCUAAAUUCAGAAGUUCUGAAUUGUAAUAGGGGUAAAUCCAAUCAGGUGUCCUCGCUAAAUCUGGCACACAUAAGGUGAGUCUCUUGGGAGCAGGGCACUGCCAGGCUGCCUAAGGAGGGGCAAAGCAGGCCAGGUCAGAAACAUAGCUGGUCCAAGCUUCCCAGCCUAUCAGUAGUGGGAUUAGCCCGUGAGUGGCUGCUGCGCUUUCAGCUUGGGUGAGAUUAGGAGAACCAGACUU
rnacentral:SRP_RNA from 1 species